rnacentral:rRNA from 1 species
AAUUUUGGACAAUGGGGGAAACCCUGAUCCAGCCAUCCCUCGUGUAUGAUGAAGGCCUUCGGGUUGUAAAGUACUUUUGGCAGAGAAGAAAAGGUAUCCCGUAAUCCGGGAUACUGCGACCGGUAUCUGCAGAAGAAGCACCGGCGAACUACGUGCCAGCGGCCGCGGUAAUACGCAGGGUGCAAGCGUUAAUCGGAAUUACUGGGCGUACAGCGUGUGUAGGCGGUUCGGAAAGAAAGAUGGGAAAUCACAGGGCUCAACCUUAGAACUGCAUUUUUAACUGCCGAGCUAGAGUAUGUCAGAGGGGGGUAGAAUUCCACGUGUAGCAGUGAAAUGCGUAGAUAUGUGGAGGAAUACCGAUGGCGAAGGCAGCCCCCUGGGAUAAUACUGACGCUCAGACACGAAAGCGUGGGGAGCAAACAGG